AGAGAGAGAGAGAGAGAGAGAGAGAGAGAGAGAGAGACCUCGCCAUCACCUCGCCGGAGAGGGUUGCCGGAUCUCGGUGGAAGGAGAAUCCUUACGCUGGAGGCGGGUAUAGCUAACGAGUUCAUUGUGGAUAUGGGGUUUCACCAACCGAAUUGCUAACAUUUUCGCGGCUCGAGACAUCGUCACCGCAAAGGACGCAUUGUCACUGACGGAAUUCAAGCUGAUGGAGUUGCUGAUUGUCGGAUUGGUAGAGUGGGUUGCUCUCAUCACUGAAUCCAAUUCUCCGCAGGGCCAGUGUGUGUAAGCUCUUUCCCUUUUGUCUUUUCUUCUUAAUUAUGCUAAAUAUGGUAUGAGACACGCUAUCUAUUUGCUUCAAGGCUCGGUUGCUGCCGGAGCCAAAUCUUGCAAAUGAACACUUAUCAGAUCAUCUUCCUACCCGUUUGAACGGGCUGGACGCAGCCGUAUAUGGUGGAAUACCUUGUAGUGUUCUAACAGAGUUACUUGAUUCUUACCCUCAUUGUAUAUCUUACAUUUUCUGGACUGAUGUUAUGUGGAGAGGGGCAAUUGAAACUUUUCUCAGGAUGAUUGAGAUUGGACUGAAAACUUUCCCCAAAGUAUUUCACCUUAAAGAAAUGGCUCAAGAGGUUGCGGCACGAGCAGAUGACGGGAAGAAUUCUUGUUUUGCGACUGAUUUCACUGAAAAGCCUUGAAAUCAAGCCGAGAGCUUGGAGACAGCAUCAGUUGGGUUGGCAUAUCUCUUUCUUAAAAUGUGAAGGCCAGCUUCUUGUCAGCUCUCUGUCAGAAAGUUAUCUUGAGAUCAUCACUUUAUAUGUGUUCGGAGACAGCAUUAAGUCGCCUGCUGAAUUUCCUCGAAUACCUAUUGUGGUGAGAAACCAAAUUAGAUCUCGGAACCGUGAUGAAAACUAGCAAGUAUUCUUUCCAAGGUAGACUCACAGACAUAGAAACAUCUGCUGGUACAAUCAAUGGGGAACAUUCUCAAUGCCCAUUUAGGAUGAUCAAAUUUGCCAGCUCAACAGAAAGAUAGAAUUCAGGAUGAUGCUCAUCUUAUCGUCGCAUUGGAGGUUAACUGGGCGCAUGCCAUAACCAUCCGGCUGGUUCUUGAAGCCAAUUCGGGUAAAUGUCACACAUGUAUGAAAAGAAAGUUGGUUUUCCGCAGUGACAAUGAUAAUCACAUGGGUCCACAUUCAUCCUUUCUGUCGCAUUUGACCGUCUUGUGUCCAUGAGGGUUAAUCACAGAGAUUAUACACAAACGCUUUUCAUGAUUGUGAAGUCUCCUCCUACAUUAUCUUGCCUUAACAUAAGAUGGGCUUUCGUUGCUGAGUGAUGAAGGAGCAGGGCUGAAAGGACAGGAGAUUUUACCUCAGAUUCAUGCUCGAGGUGCGUUUUUUUGUUUUUGUUUUGUUUUUGCCUUUACAUCUAGACAGAAUUCUUUCUUGUUCACGCUUCUGUACAACUAGAGUCGGUUUGGGACUAAUGCAUCUGGCAUUAGUUCAUAGCAAAAGUUGCAGGCUGUGAAUUUGAUUUAAA